rnacentral:rRNA from 1 species
AGGGCGCACGGUGGAUGCCUUGGCACUAGAAGCCGAUGAAGGACGUUACUAACGACGAUAUGCUUUGGGGAGCUGUAAGUAAGCUUUGAUCCAGAGAUUUCCGAAUGGGGAAACCCAGCAUGAGUUAUGUCAUGUUAUCGAUAUGUGAAUACAUAGCAUAUCAGAAGGCACACCCGGAGAACUGAAACAUCUUAGUACCCGGAGGAAGAGAAAGAAAAUUCGAUUCCCUUAGUAGCGGCGAGCGAAACGGGAAGAGCCCAAACCAACAAGCUUGCUUGUUGGGGUUGUAGGACACUCUAUACGGAGUUACAAAGGACGACAUUAGACGAAUCAUCUGGAAAGAUGAAUCAAAGAAGGUAAUAAUCCUGUAGUCGAAAAUGUUGUCUCUCUUGAGUGGAUCCUGAGUACGACGGAGCACGUGAAAUUCCGUCGGAAUCUGGGAGGACCAUCUCCUAAGGCUAAAUACUCUCUAGUGACCGAUAGUGAACCAGUACCGUGAGGGGAAAGGUGAAAAGCACCCCGGAAGGGGUAGGUGAAAUAGAACCUGAAACCGUGUGCUUACAAGUAGUCAGAGCCCGUUAAUGGGUGAUGGCGUGCCUUUUGUAGAAUGAACCGGCGAGUUACGAUUUGAUGCAAGGUUAAGCAGUAAAUGUGGAGCCGUAGCGAAAGCGAGUCUGAAUAGGGCGUUUAGUAUUUGGUCGUAGACCCGAAACCAGGUGAUCUACCCUUGGUCAGGUUGAAGUUCAGGUAACACUGAAUGGAGGACCGAACCGACUUACGUUGAAAAGUGAGCGGAUGAACUGAGGGUAGCGGAGAAAUUCCAAUCGAACCUGGAGAUAGCUGGUUCUCUCCGAAAUAGCUUUAGGGCUAGCCUCAAGUGAUGAUUAUUGGAGGUAGAGCACUGUUUGGACGAGGGGCCCCUCUCGGGUUACCGAAUUCAGACAAACUCCGAAUGCCAAUUAAUUUAACUUGGGAGUCAGAACAUGGGUGAUAAGGUCCGUGUUCGAAAGGGAAACAGCCCAGACCACCAGCUAAGGUCCCAAAAUAUAUGUUAAGUGGAAAAGGAUGUGGCGUUGCCCAGACAACUAGGAUGUUGGCUUAGAAGCAGCCAUCAUUUAAAGAGUGCGUAAUAGCUCACUAGUCGAGUGACACUGCGCCGAAAAUGUACCGGGGCUAAACAUAUUACCGAAGCUGUGGAUUGUCCUUUGGACAAUGGUAGGAGAGCGUUCUAAGGGCGUUGAAGCAUGAUCGUAAGGACAUGUGGAGCGCUUAGAAGUGAGAAUGCCGGUGUGAGUAGCGAAAGACGGGUGAGAAUCCCGUCCACCGAUUGACUAAGGUUUCCAGAGGAAGGCUCGUCCGCUCUGGGUUAGUCGGGUCCUAAGCUGAGGCCGACAGGCGUAGGCGAUGGAUAACAGGUUGAUAUUCCUGUACCACCUAUAAUCGUUUUAAUCGAUGGGGGGACGCAGUAGGAUAGGCGAAGCGUGCGAUUGGAUUGCACGUCUAAGCAGUAAGGCUGAGUAUUAGGCAAAUCCGGUACUCGUUAAGGCUGAGCUGUGAUGGGGAGAAGACAUUGUGUCUUCGAGUCGUUGAUUUCACACUGCCGAGAAAAGCCUCUAGAUAGAAAAUAGGUGCCCGUACCGCAAACCGACACAGGUAGUCAAGAUGAGAAUUCUAAGGUGAGCGAGCGAACUCUCGUUAAGGAACUCGGCAAAAUGACCCCGUAACUUCGGGAGAAGGGGUGCUCUUUAGGGUUAACGCCCAGAAGAGCCGCAGUGAAUAGGCCCAAGCGACUGUUUAUCAAAAACACAGGUCUCUGCUAAACCGUAAGGUGAUGUAUAGGGGCUGACGCCUGCCCGGUGCUGGAAGGUUAAGAGGAGUGGUUAGCUUCUGCGAAGCUACGAAUCGAAGCCCCAGUAAACGGCGGCCGUAACUAUAACGGUCCUAAGGUAGCGAAAUUCCUUGUCGGGUAAGUUCCGACCCGCACGAAAGGCGUAACGAUUUGGGCACUGUCUCAACGAGAGACUCGGUGAAAUCAUAGUACCUGUGAAGAUGCAGGUUACCCGCGACAGGACGGAAAGACCCCGUGGAGCUUUACUGUAGCCUGAUAUUGAAAUUCGGCACAGCUUGUACAGGAUAGGUAGGAGCCUUUGAAACGUGAGCGCUAGCUUACGUGGAGGCGCUGGUGGGAUACUACCCUAGCUGUGUUGGCUUUCUAACCCGCACCACUUAUCGUGGUGGGAGACAGUGUCAGGCGGGCAGUUUGACUGGGGCGGUCGCCUCCUAAAAGGUAACGG